GAUGAACGCUAGCUACAUGCUUAACACAUGCAAGUCGAGGGACCGGCGCACGGGUGAGUAACACGUAACCAACCUGCCCUUUACUCGGGGCUAUCCUUUCGAAAGACAGAUUAAUACCCGACAUAAAGGCUGGGGAUCCGUUCCAUUAGGUGGUUGGUGAGGUAACGGCUCACACAGCAUUGGAUGGAUAGGGGUUCUGAUAGGAAGGUCACCGACAUUGGAACUGAGCCACGAUCCAAACUCCUACGAGAGGCAGCAGAUGGGAAUAUUGGUCAAUGAGCGCUAGCCUGAAACAGCCAAGUAGCGAGGAGGAUGUAGGCUUGUGGGUCGUAAACUUCUUUUAUAUAAGAAUAUGUAUUAUAUGAAUAAGGAUCGGCUAACUCCGUGCCAGCCGCCGCGGUAAUUC
rnacentral:rRNA from 1 species